rnacentral:tRNA from 1 species
UCAAAAAGAGUUUUUUUAGAACACUAACUUUGGGAGUUAGAGGAUGGUUGAAUAACCAUUUUUGAA